rnacentral:lncRNA from 1 species
UUAUUUUUAAUUCAAAUUCAAGAUAAAGUUUAAAAUUAUAAAUUUAAUUUGUAAAUUUAAACUCAUAUUUUAAUUAAAAAAAAUUUAAAAAAUAAAUUUAAUCUGAAUAAAUAUCCAUUCCAUCCGGACUCAACUUUCAAUCCGGCCUCCUAGGCGGGAUUUCCAUUCCACUCAGGAAUCAUAACCGGAAUGAAACUCUAGUAUUUCAAAUACCCACAAACGAAUUCGCCUAUUUCGAUUCCGAUUCCACGGUGAAAAAUAAGCAAACCAAACACGCCCUAAGUCUC